UACGGGGGGAGCAAGCGUUGUUCGGAUUUACUGGGCGUAAAGCGUGCGCAGGCGGUUAUGUAAGACAGAUGUGAAAUCCCCGGGCUCAACCUGGGAACUGCAUUUGUGACUGCAUCGCUGGAGUGCGGCAGAGGGGGGUGGAAUUCCGCGUGUAGCAGUGAAAUGCGUAGAGAUGCGGAGGAACACCGAUGGCGAAGGCAGCCCCCUGGGACAACACUGACGCUGAGGCACGAAAGCGUGGGGAGCAAACAGG
rnacentral:rRNA from 1 species